UACGUAGGGGGGCUAGCGUUGUCCGGAAUCAUUGGGCGUAAAGAGCGUGUAGGCGGUCCGGUAAGUCCGCUGUGAAAGUCGGGGGCUCAACCCUCGAAUGCCGGUGGAUACUGUCGGGCUAGAGUCGCGGAAGAGGCGAGUGGAAUUCCUGGUGUAGCGGUGAAAUGCGCAGACUAUCAGGAGGAACACCUAUUGCGAAGGCAGCUCGCUGGGACGUAACUGACGCUGAGACGCGAAAGCGUGGGGAGCAAACAGG
rnacentral:rRNA from 1 species